rnacentral:rRNA from 1 species
UGGGGGAUAUUGCACAAUGGGCGAAAGCCUGAUGCAGCGACGCCGCGUGGGGGAUGAAGGCUUUCGGGUUGUAAACCUCUUUCGCUAUCGAACAAGGCCCGCUUAGGGUGGGUUGAGGGUAGGUGGAGAAGAAGCGCCGGCUAACUACGUGCCAGCAGCCGCGGUAAUACGUAGGGCGCGAGCGUUGUCCGGAAUUAUUGGGCGUAUAGGGCUUGUAGGCGGCUUGUUGCGCCUGCUGUGAAAACGCGGGGCUUAACUUCGCGCGUGGAGUGGGUACGGGCAGGCUUGAGUGAGGUAGAGGUGACUGGAAUUCCAGGUGUGGCGGUGGGAAGCGCAGAUAUCUGGAGGAACACCGAUGGCGAAGGCAGGUCACUGGGCCAUUACUGACGCUGAGGAGCGAAAGCAUGGGUAGCGAACAGG